ACUCAAAGGAAUAGACGGGGGCCCGCACAAGCAGCGGAGCGUGUGGUUUAAUUCGACGCGACGCGUAGAACCUUACCCGGGUUAGACAUGCCGGUGUCAAGGGGGUUAUGCCCCGGCCCCGCAAGGGGCGCCGGCACAGGUGCUGCAUGGCUGUCGUCAGCUCGUGCCGUGAGGUGUUGGGUUAAGUCCCCUAACGAGCGCAACCCCCGGUGCCGGUUGCCCGCGAGGGCGCUCCGGCGCGACUGCCGCGCGCAACGCGGAGGAAGGCGGGGAUGAUGUCAAGUCAGCACGGCCCUUACGUCCGGGGCUACACACACGCUACAAUGGCCGGCACAAUCGGUUGCGACCCGGCGACGGGAAGCCAAUCCGCAAAGCCGGUCUCAGUUCGGAUCGCAGGCUGCAACCCGCCUGCGUGAAGCCGGAGUUGCUAGUAACCGCGGGUCAGCACACCGCGGUGAAUACGUUCCCGGGCCUUGUACACACCGCCCGU
rnacentral:rRNA from 1 species